rnacentral:rRNA from 1 species
UGCCCUAGUAACGGCGAGUGAAGCGGCAACAGCUCAAAUUUGAAAUCUGGCUCUCGGGCCCGAGUUGUAAUUUGUAGAGGAUACUUUUGAUGCGGUGCCUUCCGAGUUCCCUGGAACGGGACGCCAUAGAGGGUGAGAGCCCCGUCUGGUUGGAUGCCAAAUCUCUGUAAAGUUCCUUCGACGAGUCGAGUAGUUUGGGAAUGCUGCUCUAAAUGGGAGGUAUAUGUCUUCUAAAGCUAAAUACCGGCCAGAGACCGAUAGCGCACAAGUAGAGUGAUCGAAAGAUGAAAAGCACUUUGAAAAGAGAGUUAAAAAGUACGUGAAAUUGUUGAAAGGGAAGCGUUUAUGACCAGACUUGGGCUUGGUUGAUCAUCUGGGGUUCUCCCCAGUGCACUCUUCCAGUCCAGGCCAGCAUCAGUUUUCGCCGGGGGAUAAAGACUUCGGGAAUGUGGCUCUCUUCGGGGAGUGUUAUAGCCCGUUGUGUAAUACCCUGGCGGGGACUGAGGUUCGCGCAUCUGCAAGGAUGCUGGCGUAAUGGUCAUCAACGACCCGUCUUGAAACACGGACCAAGGAGUCGUCUUCGUAUGCGAGUGUUCGGGUGUCAAACCCCUACGCGUAAUGAAAGUGAACGCAGGUGAGAGCUUCGGCGCAUCAUCGACCGAUCCUGAUGUUCUCGGAUGGAUUUGAGUAAGAGCAUACGGGGCCGGACCCGAAAGAAGGUGAACUAUGCCUGUAUAGGGUGAAGCCAGAGGAAACUCUGGUGGAGGCUCGCAGCGGUUCUGACGUGCAAAUCGAUCGUCAAAUAUGGGCAUG